rnacentral:rRNA from 1 species
UGGCCUAAAGGCUGAACCAGCAACUUACAGGAAUGAGAGUUAAUAUAAAUGACUUAUUAACUUGCUUGACUAGGUCUUAUAAAAUUCUGGAUAAAGCUGAUAAUGACAACUUUAUAUCCAUAGGUCUCGACCAAAUCUUGUGCCAGCAGUCGCGGUAAGACAAGGGAGACGAGUGUUAUUCAUCUUGAACAGGUAUAAUGGGUACCUAGACUGUGUACAAAGGCUUGAAAGAGUACCUGUUACACUAGAGUUUGAUAUGUGAGAGGGAGAUUUCAGAAUUAUUGGUGUAGAGAUAAAAUUCUUUUAUACAAAUGGGACUGAUAACGGCGAAGGCAAACCUCUAUGUACAUGUACUAACUUAAUUAAGAGAAUCAUAUGUAAAUAUGGUUAUAUAUAUCACUGGUUGAUAUAUUACUUGUUAAGAUAAUUAAUUAUAUUUAUAGUACUAAACUGACGUUGAGGGACGAAGGCUCAGAUAGUGAAGAGGAUUAGAUACCCCCGUAGCCUGGGCAGAUAAUGAUGAGUGCCAUAGGUUGGCUUUAAGUUGAACUAUAAAUGAAAGUGGAAGCACUCCACCUCAAGAGUAAUGUGGCAACACAGGAACUGAAAUCAUUAGACCGUUUCUGAAACCAGUAGUGAAGUAUGUUAUUUAAUUCGAUGAUCCUCGAAUAACCUUACCACAAUUUGAAUGCUCUAAAUUAAUAUAGUUUAUUGAAUUAUCUUAUUUAGACCACAUGCGUUGCAUGGCUGUCUUCAGUUAAUGUCGUGAGAUUUGGUUAGGUCCAUUAAAUUAACGUAAACCCUUGUUUUAUUUAAUACAAUAAGACAGCUCUCCGCCUACAAUUGGAUAUGAUAAUAGGGAUUAAGACAAGUCAUCAUGGCCUUAAUAUUGUGGGCUAUAGACGUGCCACAUAGGCCUUUACAAAGGGAUGCAAUAAUGCGAAUUGGAGCUAAUCCCCUAAAAUAGGAAAAAAUA